rnacentral:rRNA from 1 species
AUUGAACGCUGGCGGCAUGCCUUACACAUGCAAGUCGAACGGCGGCAUGAUCUCGCUUGCUAGAUUGAUGGCGAGUGGCGAACGGGUGAGUAAUACAUCGGAACGUGCCCUGUAGUGGGGGAUAACUAGUCGAAAGAUUAGCUAAUACCGCAUACGACCUGAGGGUGAAAGUGGGGGACCGCAAGGCCUCAUGCUAUAGGAGCGGCCGAUGUUUGAUUAGCUAGUUGGUGAGGUAAAGGCUCACCAAGGCGACGAUCAGUAGCUGGUCUGAGAGGACGAUCAGCCACACUGGGACUGAGACACGGCCCAGACUCCUACGGGAGGCAGCAGUGGGGAAUUUUGGACAAUGGGCGAAAGCCUGAUCCAGCAAUGCCGCGUGUGUGAAGAAGGCCUUCGGGUUGUAAAGCACUUUUGUCCGGAAAGAAAUGGCUCUGGUUAAUACCUGGGGUCGAUGACGGUACCGGAAGAAUAAGGACCGGCUAACUACGUG